rnacentral:rRNA from 1 species
GAUGAACGCUGGCGGCGUGCCUAAUACAUGCAAGUCGAGCGAACAGAUAAGGAGCUUGCUCCUUUGACGUUAGCGGCGGACGGGUGAGUAACACGUGGGUAACCUACCUAUAAGACUGGGAUAACUUCGGGAAACCGGAGCUAAUACCGGAUAAUAUUUCGAACCGCAUGGUUCGAUAGUGAAAGAUGGUUUUGCUAUCACUUAUAGAUGGACCCGCGCCGUAUUAGCUAGUUGGUAAGGUAACGGCUUACCAAGGCGACGAUACGUAGCCGACCUGAGAGGGUGAUCGGCCACACUGGAACUGAGACACGGUCCAGACUCCUACGGGAGGCAGCAGUAGGGAAUCUUCCGCAAUUGGCGAAAGCCUGACGGAGCAACGCCGCGUGAGUGAUGAAGGUCUUCGGAUCGUAAAACUCUGUUAUUAGGGAAGAACAUACGUGUAAGUAACUGUGCACGUCUUGACGGUACCUAAUCAGAAAGCCACGGCUAACUACGUG